GCACGGGUGAGUAACACGUAAGUAAUCUGCCCUCGAGUGGGGAAUAACGUCCGGAAACGGACGCUAAUACCGCAUAAUGCAGCG
rnacentral:rRNA from 1 species